rnacentral:rRNA from 1 species
AAAUUGAAGAGUUUGAUCAUGGCUCAGAUUGAACGCUGGCGGCAGGCCUAACACAUGCAAGUCGAACGGUAACAGGAAGCAGCUUGCUGCUUUGCUGACGAGUGGCGGACGGGUGAGUAAUGUCUGGGAAACUGCCUGAUGGAGGGGGAUAACUACUGGAAACGGUGGCUAAUACCGCAUAACGUCGCAAGACCAAAGAGGGGGACCUUCGGGCCUCUUGCCAUCAGAUGUGCCCAGAUGGGAUUAGCUUGUUGGUGAGGUAACGGCUCACCAAGGCGACGAUCCCUAGCUGGUCUGAGAGGAUGACCAGCCACACUGGAACUGAGACACGGUCCAGACUCCUACGGGAGGCAGCAGUGGGGAAUAUUGCACAAUGGGCGCAAGCCUGAUGCAG